GGUUUCGUAGCUCAAUUGGAUAGAGCACCUGACUACGGAUCAGGAGGUUUGGGGUUCGAAUCCCUACGAGACCACAA
rnacentral:tRNA from 2 species